UACGGGAGGCAGCAGUGGGGAAUAUUGCACAAUGGGCGCAAGCCUGAUGCAGCCAUGCCGCGUGUAUGAAAAAGGCCUUCGGGUUGUAAAGUACUUUCAGUCGUGAGGAAGGUGUUAAGGUUAAUAACCUUAGCAAUUGACGUUAGCGACAGAAGAAGCACCGGCUAACUCCGUGCCAGCAGCCGCGGUAAUACGGAGGGUGCGAGCGUUAAUCGGAAUUACUGGGCGUAAAGGGCACGCAGGCGGUUAAUUAAGUUGGAUGUGAAAUCCCCGGGCUUAACCUGGGAAUGGCAUUCAAGACUGGUUAGCUAGAGUCUUGUAGAGGGGGUAGAAUUCCAUGUGUAGCGGUGAAAUGCGUAGAGAUGUGGAGGAAUACCGGUGGCGAAGGCGGCCCCUGGACAAAGACUGACGCUCAUGUGCGAAAGCGUGGGGAGCAAACGAGGGAUUAGA
rnacentral:rRNA from 1 species